GGACGAACGCUGGCGGCGUGCUUAACACAUGCAAGUCGAACGGAAAGGCCCUGCUUUUGUGGGGUGCUCGAGUGGCGAACGGGUGAGUAACACGUGAGUAACCUGCCCUUGACUUUGGGAUAACUUCAGGAAACUGGGGCUAAUACCGGAUAGGAGCUCCUGCUGCAUGGUGGGGGUUGGAAAGUUUCGGCGGUUGGGGAUGGACUCGCGGCUUAUCAGCUUGUUGGUGGGGUAGUGGCUUACCAAGGCUUUGACGGGUAGCCGGCCUGAGAGGGUGACCGGCCACAUUGGGACUGCGAUACGGCCCAGACUCCUACGGGAGGCAGCAGUGGGAAAUAUUGCACAAUGGGCGGAAGCCUGAUGCAGCAACGCCGCGUGCGGGAUGACGGCCUUCGGGUUAUAAACCGCUUUCGCCUGUGACGAGGCGUGAGUGACGGUAAUGGGUAAAGAAGCACCGGCUAACUACGUG
rnacentral:rRNA from 1 species